GGGUUUCUUUAAAGCAUUGAUAUAAAAUAUAUAGCAGAGUGUUUUAAAAUUUGAGAGCUAUGCUGAAUUACUUUUCUAAUUCACUAAGAGGAUAUUUUUAUCAAAUUAUCUGAGCAGCCAAGCCUAGAGCAUUCCUACAUGAAGCUCCUUCAGUACAGAAGGCUGGAUAUAAAACCUGAAGACAAAGAGCAGGCUCUUGCCUUUUGCCAUCGACGGUCGUCUGGGUCUCUCAGAAGAACUCCAACAGCUGGUGCCUAAACGUGCGGCUCGAAGCUACAAGGGGCUCCCAGAAAGCUGGAAGAACCACACAUGGAGUGUUUGGCUGAGGAACCUCAUGCAGGCAUUGCUGCAAAGAAGCCCCUCGAAUGGCAGGCUGCUCCCAGAGAAGGUGACCACAUAUUCAUGGAAAGCCGACCCUGGAAACCGAGACUGGAAGCUCUUUUUUGCACUGAAAGGGUCAGUCUCAGGCAAAAGGAGUGACUGGGAAAGAAAGGAAAGAUUCGUCUGAACGCUGGAUUUUUGAGGUCCAUCUAAAAUAACAGACUCCUGGCUGGCUCAGCUGCCUUCUGUUAAACUGUGUGUAACCAAAUUUAGCAGGGGCUUUUUCUUCCACACAGCAGCUGAGGGUGCUGAUCUAACCAUCAUUUCACCAAGGUUUUGUUGAGAUGUGGAAGCUCCCUGUGGCAGAACUCAAAGCCGUUUGUUGUGGGGCUUUAUGCCAUCAACCCCUGCCUUUGAAUGAGCAGGAUGGACUGGUAGCUCGUUAUUUCGUGUGGUUGGCUGCUGGAAACACAAGUGGGCAUCCAAAACUGAUGGAUGCCAUUCCCAGCCUGUACUCAGCCUCAAUUAACACUGUUUCAAUAUUUUUAAAUACUUUCUUAAUGAAAUAUGACUAUUAGUGAUUGCACCUCAUGAGAUCACCUGGAGAGCUCAUGCCUACAGGAGAAACCUUCCUGCCACUGACAAGGGGAUUACAGAGCUCACCAUGGAUGAAAUGGGGGUAUUUCCAUCAGCCUAGGGGUUGGGAGAGGCUGGAGGAAAUUGCUAGGGAGUUUUUGAGGGCCUUACAGAGGAGACCCCCAGAUAUCGUGCAGCUGAAACUAAGCACAGCCUCAGCCACUGCCAUUGUCCAGAGCAAUGUGUAUUUUAUAUGAUUUAGAAAGA